GCUGGAGCUGGAUCCGGCUUCCGGAAGGUGAGGGCCGGCGGGCAGGGGCUAGGCAGACGCGGACGCUCCGUCCCGACCUCACGCGUGACACCGUGAGGGCCAGACGCCAGCCCCCGCGCCGCCCCCUGUGCCUUUGAGGUUGGGCCCGUUCUCGGACUCCAUCUCCGGCCGGGCCGCGCGCCCCGCGCCCUCCUGGGCUGGUGUCUCGCAGCUGGAGCUGGUGAGCAGGCUGCUGCACCUGCACUUCAAGGAUGACAAGACCAAAGUGAGCGGGGACGCGCUGCAGCUCGUGGUGGAGUUGCUGAAGGUCUUCGUUGUGGGUGAGCCCAGGGCCCACGCUCCCUCCGGGCACAGCAUCCGGAAUUUUGCGUUUUUCCAGCGGGAAAACCAAGACGUGUUUUCCCGUUUCCCACAAGGGCCUAAACUUGGGUCUCCUGAGCCUGUUUGUCAGAAGCAGCAGUCCGCGGCGUGCGGCAGGCCCAGGCAGAAGACGCGCUCCGUGUGGACGUGGACCAGCUGGAGAAGGUGCUUCCGCAGCUGGUGCGUGAGCGUGGGUCGGGGCGCAAGUGGGGGUGCCCGGCUGGCUGGCCCUAAGUGCUUCUCUCCCCCACAGCUCCUGGACUUCUAGGGAUCUCAGCCGUGGCUGAGGCCACCCCCAGAGGAGCCCCUGGUCCACAGAAGCAGGCCUUGUGUUUCCAGCGGCCUCUGAUAACAGGCAGGGAAGGACCUGAAGGAUUUGGAGUUGAUUCAAACAAGAUCUCUGGGAGUCUCCAGCCUGUGCAGAAGGGGCAGGACUGCAGUGCACUGCGGGCCUUGGAGUGUCCAGUGGGGACACUGGUGUGGGAAGGGGCAGCACCUGGGGAGUCCCUGCCUCUCCUCCCUGGGACAAUAGUGUGCAUGCCACCCGGGGUCCUACAGGCAGGUGCUGGGAAAGGCCUGGCCAGCAGGUAGCCUGUGUGUUUGACAA
rnacentral:sRNA from 1 species